rnacentral:lncRNA from 1 species
UCCUUUUGGAGCCCAUGACGCAGGUCCAGCUGGGAAUAACAAAUGAAUUUAUGAGGCCAUAAAUGGAAACUGGAGGAUGUAUAUUUGAAACGAGGUCCCCAACGAAGUAGACAGCACACUCCAAUUUAUGCAUCUGGCACAACUCGUGAAAUUGCACUUCCGUUUUUCGUUUUCAUACCUUGAAAUAGCCGAGUCCUUACCCAUUGCAUCUCUUACACAGUCUGUGCGACGGAAACUUGAGCCUCCCUCUGACUUUUUGCUUAACUGAGGCAGUAACUGAGGGCUGUACUUGGGGGCCAGAGGAUCUUCUGUGCGUCAAAUCAGGCUUGUUGUUAGCAUGAUAUUAAACAUGCUCUUACGGGCUCCACUAUGGAAAGAAAAGCUAAUGACCAUUUAUUUGCAAACCUAGGGAGAUGUUGGCUGAGAAAGACCAAGACCACAUAUGUCAAAGUACUCUCUGAAAAAUAUUUCAUCAUGGUGUAAUUGAGGCUUUAAAAGAUGCUAUUAAGGGACUGGCCUGGUGGUGUAGUCGUUAAGUUUGCACACUCUGCUUCGGCAGCCCGGGGUUCGCAGGUUCAGAUCCCAGGCAUGGACCUACACACUGCUCAUCAAGCCAUGCUGUAGCAGCGUCCUACACACAAAAUAGAGGAAGAUUGGCACAGAUGUUGGCUCAGGGACAAUCUUCUUCAAGCAAAAACAAAAAGAGGAAUAUUGGCAACAGAUGUUAGCUCAGGGCCAAUCUUCCUCACCAAGACAAAAAAACAAAAAAACAAAAAACUGUUAAAAUCAUAGCUCCAGAAAGACACAGAUGUUUUUACUUAGCCACUCCUGCUCUGAAACUGUCCUUUUUUAAGCUUUUUUCAGUUAAAUCCCUUGAGUGUGACUUUCUGCUGGGACACUGACGAAUAUGGAGUGCAUGUCUGCAUGCGUGUGGGAUGACCAUGACAGAGUAGACAAUGAGACACGGCCUCGUCCUCUUUUCCUCACACUUCCUGUGGUCAUUAAGUGGCAGAAAGACAUCACUUUGAAGUCAUUAUACUUCCAACAUUUGGACCUAGAUGGCAAGUGUUUUUGGCCGUUAUGAAUCAACUCUUCAAAAAGACUGAGAGCCAGCUGCAUAUGGAAGGGGCGCCAAGAGAGAUUAAAUCAAUGAGAACACGGUGGUAUCAGCUAUCGGCACUAUUAUGAGAGAAGCACAAUGUGUUGAGGAGCACAUGGGAGAAGAACAUUUCACAAACUUGGAAAUCUUCCCAGAAAGUUAGACUCAGCUGAGGUCUAACAGGUGAGGAGGAGAAAAUGAGGUGAGCUGGGCAUUCUAGGUAGAAGUAACGCAAUGUAUAUAGGCCCAAAUCUUAGAUGUUAAUUAUUCAUGUCACUAUUAUCAUCUCAUUCAGUGUCACAGGCUAUAGAAUCAGUGAGAUCCGGGUUCAAAUCUUGGUUUUGCCAUGAUUUGUGUGGCCUUGGGCAAGUCACCUGAUCUUUUGAGUCUCUGUCUUGCUCUCUGCAUCACAAGGAUGCUCAUACAGAACCUGUAGUAAUGUUACGGGAAGAAGAUGAAUUGAUAGGAGCACAGAUCCUAAUACUUUGCCUGGCAUUUAAAAGUGCUGCAACACGUUUCUCUUUCUUUCCUCUUGAAAGAGUCUGAUGUUUUCAUCUUAUGGAUUCCAAAGUUUCCUUGGACACCAGACAACUUCCAUCAACUAAUGUAUGCUGUGAGGUGUGACAUGCUGAGCAAAUAUCCU